UACGUAGGGGGCAAGCGUUGUCCGGAAUCAUUGGGCGUAAAGCGCGUGUAGGCGGUUCAGUAAGUCUGCUGUGAAAGUCCAGGGCUCAACCCUGGGAUGCCGGUGGAUACUGCUGGGCUAGAGUACGGAAGAGGCGAGUGGAAUUCCCGGUGUAGCGGUGAAAUGCGCAGAUAUCGGGAGGAACACCAAUUGCGAAGGCAGCUCGCUGGGACGUCACUGACGCUGAGACGCGAAAGCGUGGGGAGCAAACAGGG
rnacentral:rRNA from 1 species